rnacentral:ncRNA from 1 species
UUUUUAAGCGCCAGGACAGUGAUUUUAAGGGAACCCACUGUUGACGAGGUUAGAAUUUAUCGAAAUAUUCGGCGGAUGAUUCUAUGGCACUAUCACUGCCAUAAGCAUUAUCAAAAACUAAUAGCAAUAUUAGAACAAAUAUAAUGC